rnacentral:rRNA from 1 species
UCAAAGGAAUUGACGGGGGAGCACCACACGGGUGAGCUUGCGGUUUAAUUGGAUUCAACGCCGGAAAUCUUACCGGGACCGACAGCAAUAUGAAGGCCAGGCUGAAGACUUUACCGGAUUAGCUGAGAGGUGGUGCAUGGCCGUCGUCAGUUCGUACUGUGAAGCAUCCUGUUAAGUCAGGCAACGAGCGAGACCCACGCCCACAGUUGCCAGCGUACUCUCCGGAGUGACGGGUACACUGUGGGACCGCCGCUGCUAAAGCGGAGGAAGGAAUGGGCAACGGUAGGUCAGUAUGCCCCGAAUAUCCCGGGCUACACGCGAGCUACAAUGGUUGGUACAAUGGGUAUCUACCCCGAAAGGGGACGGGAAUCUCCUAAAACCAAUCUUAGUUCGGAUUGAGGGCUGCAACUCGCCCUCAUGAAGCUGGAAUCCGUAGUAAUCGCGUUUCAACAGAACGCGGUGAAUACGUCCCUGCUCCUU